rnacentral:rRNA from 1 species
GACGAACGCUGGCGGCGUGCUUAACACAUGCCAGUCGAACGGAAAGGCCCUGCUUGUGGGGUACUCGCGUGGCGAACGGGUGAGUAACACGUGGGUGAACUGCCCUGCACUUCGUGAUAAGCCUGCGAAACUGGGUCUAAUACCGGAUAGGAGCCAUCCUGAGUGUGGUGGUUGGUUAGAUUUUUUGGUGUAGGAUGAGCUCGCGGGCUAUCAGCUUGUUGGUGGGGUAAUGGCCUACCAAGGCGGCGACGGGUAGCCGGCCUGAGAGGGUGGACGGCCACAUUGGGACUGAGAUACGGCCCAGACUCCUACGGGAGGCAGCAGUGGGGAAGAUUGCACAAUGGGCGCAAGCCUGAUGCAGCGACGCCGCGUGGGGGAUGACGGCCUUCGGGUUGUAAACUCCUUUCGCUAGGGACGAAGCUUUUUGUGACGGUACCUAGAUAAGAAGCACCGGCUAACUACGUG